rnacentral:snoRNA from 1 species
GUACCGCGUAUGAUGAAGUACUACGGAUGUAAAAGAGUCAAAGACUCAUGUAUCCGAGAGCGCAUAAACCCCAUGUGGAUUUUUCCGUUGCCUUCCUUCUGACUCGUC